UACGUAGGGGGCUAGCGUUGUCCGGAAUCAUUGGGCGUAAAGCGCGUGUAGGCGGUUCGGUAAGUCCGCUGUGAAAGUCGAGGCUCAACCCUCGAAUGCCGGUGGAAACUGUCUGGCUAGAGUCCGGAAGGGGCGAGUGGAAGUUCCUGGUGUAGCGGUGAAAUGACGCAGAGUAUCAGGAGGAACACCAAUGGCGAAGGCAGCUCGCUGGGACGGUACUGACGCUGAGGCGACGAAAGCGUGGGGAGCAAACAGG
rnacentral:rRNA from 1 species